GAAGUCUCUGUACCAAAUGGAAAGGAGCUCUCUUAUCUGCUCAGACUGAUGUACGAAAAAGCAAUAUUGCCUGUGGAUAUAUUAUCUGGAUAAAAUAGCCGCUUUCCAAUAUUGUGGGUAAAGGAUGAUACUGGUCAUGAUAUUCACAUGCCUGUAAUGGCCUGCAUUUUGCUGAUACCUUUAUUUAAGCACCAAGCAGAAAGAUGAAUCUGGAAGUCUUUAAAAGACGUUUAGAUGUAGAGCUUAGGGAUAUGGUUUAGUGGGGACUGUUAGUGUUAGGUCAGAGGUUGGACUCGAUGAUCUUGAGGUCUCUUCCAACCUAGAAAUUCUGUGAUUCUGUGAUUCUGUGAUCUUCCAGUUUCUAAAACAAUGAUGCUGUGAAGCGGUUGAGAACUGGUUUUGGCACAUUUUUUCCCAUCACUCUCUUAAAUUAGUCCCAAAGUCUUAUGCUUGCUUAUUAGGCUUAUAAAUACAGACUGCUUCCGUUCUACUCUGGCCACUUUCCACAAUAUUGGCAGGCUUCAAAGGAUGGGAAAGAAGAAACAUGCUGAUGAAGCCUGCACUUUCUGUGAAUCUGUUUCACUUAUUGUAGCCUUUAGUUCAUACAAAUUUCAGCUGUGAAGCAUUUGCUUGUGUAGCCAUCAUAUCACAAUUUCUCCUUCUGCCCCAAAUCUUUUCCAGCUCCUCCUUUAUUUUAAGGUCUUGCUUGUGCCACAUCUUCUGUGUGAAGAGUGAGAAGCAAAAAUAAGUGUUUAUUUGCCAGUGUCUUCUGGAUUUGAAAGAACUUAGCAGCUAAACCCUGCAGUUAUCUGUCGGGAAAAUAGUUGCCACAUUCAUUUAGUUCAGAAAUACCAAGUACCUUUCCUGAACUGGGGGCUCCAAGUGUUUCACAAAAAAAGCAGCUUGGGGGUUGUACGCCGAAUCCUUUUUGUGCUGAAACCACUGAGGAUGUUAUUCACUUCAGAACUAAGAUACCCAAACAUAGAUGUCUGUAUAUGGAUGUCUACAUAGCUGCCCAUGCAGAACUACUUGAGAUGUUUUGAGGCAUCCACACCAUGAUGGUAGGUAAGAAGUAGGAUCUACAGGAGACUGAUAUCAUAGGAUCAUUUAGGUUGGAGAAGAACUCUAAGAUCACUAAGUCCAACCAUUAAUCAUUAGCCAGAGUGGUGUUCUUCCAGAGAAGCAGUGGAAGGCCAGGAGAGAUGUGCUAAUGUAUCUUAGCAUCAUUCACCUCUGUUUAGCACCUUUCUAGCCCUCUGCUCUGAAAUGGGCUGGAUUUCCUUCUCAC
rnacentral:lncRNA from 1 species